rnacentral:siRNA from 1 species
GAUACUACUGAUAGAGAUGCUCC